GCGGGUGGUCGCACAGGGCUAGGGCAGCCGCUGCUGGGGGCUGGCCGCGGGACACCUAGUCCUGGCCCACGCGGCUGGGGGUAUCGUGCCGCCAGAUUGUACCGAAGUCCCCCAACAAAGCACGUGACCCCCGUUUGGUGAUAAAGAGAGAGCACCGUCUUAUGAGUGGGCAUUAGGAAGCGGCCUCAGUAAGAGUGCCUUAGUUUCAACCCUGUUUCCCAAACUCCGAUCAGAAAAGGAACAUCCUCCACCAAAGCAGCCAAUCAGCAGUUCUUUUGAACUCUGGAAGUGUGCUGGAAGUCUGGAAGUGUGGGUCCGUCUCACCUCCAAGUGUAGGCUCCUCCCAGCCCAGUCUUCAUCGUGGAGCUGAGGAGCCGCUGCUCGGUCCACAGACUUAUUUAACACAAGGCUGUUAGAGGCUCUGCUGACUCCCCGCCACGUGGGAUCUCGCCCAUGUCUUUUUUCCUAGACCUGAGUGCCCCUCUUUGGACAAAGCUGAGGCAGCGGUAGCGGAUGGAUGGAGAAAAGAAAGAAGAGGCGUAGAUGGGUGAGAACUCCUUCGGAAGUCUGAGUCUCAGUGGCCGUAUGCUAAGCCCUAAGCCCGGGUGCCUGGGAUCCCUUCGGGGUCCCUGCUCAGGAUCCGGCGUGGAUCAGAAAACCCGACUGUUGCAGGAAGGAGCUGAGAAUCAAUCUACAGAGGUGUUUCCAAGCUGCCGAGCUUGAAUCACCAUUUACUUCUGCUCUCCGGGUCUUUCCGUUACCUGAGUGAGUCUGGCCUCUCCAGUCCGCGUGGUCCUGCGACCCACUCACAGGCUUCUUUGCAGUUGGGAGACAGAGAUUCCCAAGGGGACACUCCCGUGGUACCCGAAGCAUGUUCACAGUGGGAGCCACCCCCAAGGACGGAGCUGCGGUCCCCAGACCUGCUGAACCAUUCUGGAGUUGAGUCUUUUUGGAUGGGGAUAGAAAGGGGGACCUGGCCGCUAACAUAAUCCACACAUAGUCUUACGUGGGAGAACCACCACAGAAGAGUUCCCUAGCCCUGCGGGCCUUGCUCACUCUGAGAUCUCUAGCACCCAGCACAGUGACUGCUGCAGGAGGCAGUGAGAAAACGUUUGUGAGUCUGUGGUUCCCAUAGUCUUUAGGGGCAAGUUUAAGCCUGGGUUUUGCCAUCCCUGAGAGCACUUGGACUGGGGUCUCUUGGAAGGAAGUGGGUGCUCGGGCGCCUCUUGCUCUCUCGAGCGGCUCACAGGAGAGAGACGAAGGCCUCUUGAAGAGUCCUCACUCAGGGUGAUGGGAAUCCUGUUUCCUUUUGCUCAUUUGUGUCACAUUCUUCCAUCGGGCUGGGCAACUGACAGGUGCAUCCCUCCCCGGGCCCCUCUCCGAGUCCCCUCCCUGCCAUUUGUCUCUCACCCAGAUAUCCGGCAGACGCCACCAUCCGCGGAAGCUGAAUAUGAUUAGCAGAAACCCUUCCUGACAGCUCCAAAGAGAAUCCCUCAAAUGCAUAUUCUAUUGAGUGCAUCUCAUUGCUGCUGACAGUCGCUUUAUCAAUUAAAUUCCACAUUCCCAGUCUUUGGAGACGCCAUGAACCUCCCUACCUAAUAAAUCACAGGCCCCCAGUUAUUGUUAAAUGUCCCAUCAGUCUCUAAUAAACUCCCUGCCAACGGGGGCAGGUUAUUUAUUAUGCUGCCUGGACAAGAAUGAAUUGGGCCCCGUUCUUACAAGGGGAAGAGCAAAUGUGACGCCUUCCUCCCUAAAGACUGAGGCCGUGCUAUUAAAAGGGGCAAUUAAUCAAUGUGGGCCUUGGGCAGAGGAGAGCCUGGUCUGGAGACAGGGAGGAAGACCUAGGGUUCUUUUCCGAAAGCCUGCCAGGCAAUGUCCAUGGCGGGAGGUGGCUGUGCAGAGUGCGUGGGCUGGGCCUUUGCGGUGGCUUCCCCACCUCCUAAUUCCUGUCUGAAAAGGUACUGAAGAUAUAAGGUCACCCCGUGGGCCAAGGGGCGCAUGUAAAAAUAGUUAUCCUCUGUGUUGGGAGGUAGCCACUUAGGAACGAGAAGGUCAUGAAACAAAUUCUGUCCAGGCGGUCACAUAUUGUUACUUGAUAAACUUUAUACAACCUAAGUGUAUCGAUGGCGCUAGUCCACUGAGCAGAUGAACUGAAGAAUGCCGGAGGGAAGGCCCCCCUUGUCUGGGAGCAAGAACUAGGAAACACUUGCUUCAUCAGUUUGCGGGGUAAACACCACACAGGUAAGCCCUGGUACUCGGGAAGCAGUGUACCAACACCGAAAACACCCAGGAGCUAGCAGGUGUAAGACACAAGCGUGUGAAGGGCGUCUUGAAGUUCCCCGCCUCAGGUUAGAUCCCAGAUCUAGAUGAUGCUCCACGGUCUGCCAGUUAAAACCCAGACUCCUCGGCUUUGCCAUUAAUCGAGCCCCAUCCACAUUUCCAACUGUAUCUCUCUUUAUUUUAUGUAACAGUACCCCGCAUUGGGAGAGCACAGCACAGUCAUUUUCUAUUCCUUAUGGUAGCAGACAAGGUCCUUCAUAACAUGGGACCAAUAUAUCUCUGCAGCCUCAUUUCCUGGUAAUUGCUGCCAUACUUGCCUCCGUUCACACUAAAGCUCGUGGCUUCCCUAAACUAUUAUGGUUUCUCAUGCUUCCACGCCUUUGCACAAACUGUUCGCUUUGCCCAGAAUAUCUCUCUAACUUGCCUGCUUGGUGAGCUCUCUCCUUCCACCCCCACUGCCUGAUGAAACUCCUUAUCUAUCCUUCAGGAUCAGCUCAGAAAAUGAGCCCCCAGUGCUUCACAGGACUUGGGCUUGGCCUCCUGGCGCUGCUGUUUGGCAGAUGUACUAGACUCCAGGGUAGGUAAGGAAUGAUCUGCACAUGGUGUUUUUCUCAUUGUUCAAUGCAUGCUUUAAACCAUUUUGAUUUUGGGUGGAGAUGAGAAGGGCAUAGAGAAGAAAGCUACUGCUCUCUGAAUACCAAAAGCUGUUUUCCUUAAUUUCUCAGUAGUUCCCACUCUCUCCCACAUGACAGCCACAUUUUAACUAAGGCCCUGAAAAUGUCAGUAUUGCAUAUGAUUUUAUACCAACUUGUGCUACUUGCGUAUUUCCUCCUUGAUCGGGGCCACCUGUUUGCAGGUAUCCUUCUCCUUGAGGGCAACGGCUGUGUCCAUAUUGGGCGUUCAGAAGAUAUCUGUUGAAAGAAUAAAGAGAAGCUUCAGAUUGAAUGCAAAUAACAUUGCCUACCCUUUGUUGCUUUGAGAUCGAAUGAGAAAAAGUAGCUGUAAAAAUGGUAGUUCUGUUCCUUCUUUCCACAUUCUCCUUACACCCACCAUGGGCCACCUUAAUGUCUAUGCUUUUAUUUACAUUGUUUUCCUCUACACCGGUGCAAAAACCUCCACUGUGGAAUGAUUGUAUGGGACCACUUGAACCUCCACGUCCAUCCUGAGUCUAAGUUUUACUUGCUUUUCAGUGCACAGGAAUCCUUCCCUUCUCUAGCUCCCAGGUACAUUAGGUGAAGUAAGGCUUUCCAGGUAGACAGAAUAGAAUAAAAAAAGGCUGAGGUCCCAUUGAGAUUUUUCCUGAGGGGAGGCCGGGAAGCACACACAGUCUGACUCAUUGCUGUGUAUGUUACUCUCAUACCUUACCUAGUUAUUAAAUGGUGCCUUACCUCUGUGUUUUAUCUUUACAGCACUAAAAGUUACAGCCAACAACUUUAUCUAACUUUUCCAUUACUGAGGAAAAUAUUUUAUGUAUUGAUUUGUGUUUUUAGCUGUAGCAAUACAAUUUAUUCCUAGUAACCUUACUGCAAUAUUUGUGUCCGUAAAACAUCAUAAACAAGAAACACGAUCACAGAAUGUCUAUAAAACUGGACGUGUUCUUUUCUGGAAAAGCAGUCUUUUUGUUUCUUUCGGGAUGAGAGCUGGCUUCUUCAUCGAUUGGUGUGAGUUCUAUAGAAUUACUGCUAUGCGCAAUGGAGACCCAGCAAAGACUUUUGAGCAAGAUUCAGUGUUUAUUAGGCCCACCAAGGGCCUGGUGCUGGGCUGGAGAGCCUGGAGUGAAAAAAUUCCCAUCCUUGAGAAGCUUAUAGUUUUUUUUUUUUUUUUUUGGUGUAAGGGACAGACACCUAAACAAGUAAAUAGAACCGGGUAAGAGGUAGACUGGAGUUAUUAUAGUGUGAAGUGGGAGUCUGGCAUGGGAAAUAAAAAAGUUUGUUAAAAGGAUCUAGGGGCACCUGGGUGGCUCAGUCGGUUAAGCAUCCGACUACGGCUCAGGUCAUGAUCUCGAGGUUCACAAGUUUGAGCCC